GUAGAUAUCUACAAACAUGGAGCCUAUACACCUCUGCUUAGCUGGACUUUGGGAAGGAUAAAGGACAAGUACUCAGCGCCACCGUAGUGAUGAUUGUGGCCACAAAUCUGCAGUAUGACCCGUCCUGUCCUUGAAAAUGACGAUGUCUCUUAGUACCCAGAAAAAUCGAUAUCCUGGGAGAACUGGACUAAAGCCUGGUGCACAAAGAUAUUUUUCAAAAAGUUGGAGAAUCCCACAGGGCAAAAAGGGAGGAUCAGUGCCUUUUAUUAUUAUGUUAUGCACUCCCUGGCAUCCUCAUUGUAUGCAGAUUCCUGGGCGUGAGUUGAUUUAGUCAUUGUGAGUGAUAACUGGCAGCAUCAGACAACUUUAAUGUGCAUGUGGUUAAAGCCGUAUGAUGGCGGUUCAACAGCAGAACAUUGGCAGCACAUUUCUACAUUGUGUAUUGUGCUCUCUGCUCAUCCCGGUUGCUGUAAUUGUUAUAGACAUCAAGGAUCUCAGUUUCUUCCAGGAUCAUUCGGAUUUGGACCAAACAAAUUUGGGGAUGAUAUCCGAAAAUACCAGGACAGAAUUAUCCAUUACUUUCUGCAGGUCGGUCUUCUCGUUGUGUUGUGACUGUUUAUUGAAAAGUUUAAUUAAAGAAGAAUAUAACGUUACGGAGCUGGAAGGCAUCACGUUUGAAUUAACCAAGUUGGAAGUUACCAUUGUUUGUCUUGCAAUCCUGUUUCAUGAAUAAGAUUCCUUGUUAAGGAAUAUUUGAGUUAAAAAUUCAUCCAUCUUGCAGUGGCAAAUACAAUGUUGUUUUGAACCAGUGGAGAAUUUCAAUAAGUUGAAAGUUUUUUCUUGGUCCAAUUGUACAAUAAUUGUCACGGUAGAGUCAAAGGAAAAAGGAUGGUAAAUAAAUAUCUCUU